rnacentral:rRNA from 1 species
AGUGAACGCUGGCGGCAUGCCUAACACAUGCAAGUCGAACGGCAGCACAAGAGAGCUUGCUCUCUGGGUGGCGAGUGGCGGACGGGUGAGGAAUGCAUCGGAAUCUGCCCAUUUGUGGGGGAUAACCUCGGGAAACCGGGACUAAUACCGCAUACGACCUACGGGUGAAAGCAGGGGAUCUUCGGACCUUGCGCAGAUGGAUGAGCCGAUGCCGGAUUAGCUAGUUGGAGGGGUAAAGGCCCACCAAGGCGACGAUCCGUAGCUGGUCUGAGAGGAUGAUCAGCCACACUGGGACUGAGGCACGGCCCAGACUCCUACGGGAGGCAGCAGUGGGGAAUAUUGGACAAUGGGCGCAAGCCUGAUCCAGCCAUGCCGCGUGUGUGAAGAAGGCCUUCGGGUUGUAAAGCACUUUUGUUGGGAAAGAAAAGCAGCCGGUUAAUACCCGGUUGUCAUGACGGUACCCAAAGAAUAAGCACCGGCUAACUUCGUG